AUGAUCUGUAUGGGCGACCUCGAUGACAUACUGUAUGAUGCUCAUAUAUCUAAUGGUUGUGUGAAUUACUAUCGUAUGUCUAGUUUUUGUUCUUUAAUUAAAAACUGUGGUUUCUUUGAUAUCGGUUACAGUGGUCCUGCCUACACUUGGUGUAAUAGACAACAUACUGCUAAUCCUAUUGACAGACGUCUAGAUCGAUGUCUUGUUAAUGCUGAUUGGUGUGCUCACUAUCCUAAUACUAAGCUUCUUAAUUUGCCCAUUAUUCUUAGUGAUCAUGCUCCAAUCCUCAUUUCCAUGGAUGGUAACUUCUCUAAGCCUAAACAAACUUUC
rnacentral:rRNA from 1 species